UACAGAGGUCCCAAGCGUUGUUCGGAUUCACCGGGCGUAAAGGGUGCGUAGGUGGCCAGGUAAGUUCGGUGUGAAAGCUCGGAGCUUAACUCCGAAAUGGCAUUGAAUACUAUCUGGCUAGAGGGUCGGAGGGGAGACUGGAAUUCUCGGUGUAGCAGUGAAAUGCGUAGAUAUCGAGAGGAACACCAGUGGCGAAGGCGAGUCUCUGGACGACUCCUGACACUGAGGCACGAAAGCCAGGGGAGCAAACAGG
rnacentral:rRNA from 1 species